rnacentral:rRNA from 1 species
AAUGAACGCUGGCGGUAGGCCUAACACAUGCAAGUCGAACGGCAGCACAGUAAGAGCUUGCUCUUACGGGUGGCGAGUGGCGGACGGGUGAGGAAUACAUCGGAAUCUACUUUUUCGUGGGGGAUAACGCAGGGAAACUUACGCUAAUACCGCAUACAACCUACGGGUGAAAGCAGGGGAUCUUCGGACCUUGCGCGAUUGAAUGAGCCGAUGUCGGAUUAGCUAGUUGGCGGGGUAAAGGCCCACCAAGGCGACGAUCCGUAGCUGGUCUGAGAGGAUGAUCAGCCACACUGGAACUGAGACACGGUCCAGACUCCUACGGGAGGCAGCAGUGGGGAAUAUUGGACAAUGGGCGCAAGCCUGAUCCAGCCAUACCGCGUGGGUGAAGAAGGCCUUCGGGUUGUAAAGCCCUUUUGUUGGGAAAGAAAAGCAGCAGGUUAAUACCCCGCUGUUCUGACGGUACCCAAAGAAUAAGCACCGGCUAACUUCGUG